rnacentral:lncRNA from 1 species
AGCAGUGUGAGUCACGUAAUGGAGACAGCUUCCACAACAACAUUCUCUUUAUUGGUCUGACUCGAAGAUGAAAAGACCUUACACGCCAUUAAGAGUUUUAUUUUUUAAUUAAUCCAAUUGCCAUGCACCAUUUACAGAUUUGAACCCGUUUACAUCUCAUCAAGGAGGACGGCCAUUACAAAACCACCCACCAUAAGAAGACCAAGCAGCGUGGAUUGGAGCAUCGGGUUGACGGAUGGACUUGGCAGAAAGAGCGAAGAUUCUGGGAGGACAAGUUACGGGAGCUACGGGAGCCCGAGAGGCAGCCCCCCAAUUUUUUUGGGGGGGGGCACACGAGAAGUUGGCCUGAGUCAGGAUGGAAUACUGAGCCAACUUCCCGUGCUUACAGGAGGCAUCAAAGUACUGGUCAGG